rnacentral:rRNA from 1 species
UACGGAGGGUGCAAGCGUUGUCCGGAAUCACUGGGCGUAAAGGGCGCGUAGGCGGCUCAUGAAGGCUGUGGUGAAAGUCCGGGGCUCAACCUCGGAUCGGCCGUGGCGACUCGUGGGCUGGAGCACUGUAGAGGCGGGUGGAAUUCCGGGUGUAGCGGUGGAAUGCGUAGAGAUCCGGAAGAACACCGGUGGCGAAGGCGGUUAGCUGGGCAGUUGCUGACACUGAGGCGCGACAGCGUGGGGAGCAAACAGG